AGAGUUUGAUCAUGGCUCAGAACGAACGCUGGCGGCAGGCCUAACACAUGCAAGUCGAGCGAGACCUUCGGGUCUAGCGGCGGACGGGUGAGUAACGCGUGGGAACGUGCCCUUUGGUUCGGAAUAGCCCCGGGAAACUGGGAGUAAUACCGGAUAAGCCCUACGGGGGAAAGAUUUAUCGCCAAAGGAUCGGCCCGCGUUGGAUUAGGUAGUUGGUGGGGUAAUGGCCUACCAAGCCGACGAUCCAUAGCUGGUUUGAGAGGAUGAUCAGCCACACUGGGACUGAGACACGGCCCAGACUCCUACGGGAGGCAGCAGUGGGGAAUCUUAGACAAUGGGGGAAACCCUGAUCUAGCCAUGCCGCGUGAGCGAUGAAGGCCUUAGGGUUGUAAAGCUCUUUCAGUGGGGAAGAUAAUGACUGUACCCACAGAAGAAGCCCCGGCUAACUCCGUGCCAGCAGCCGCGGUAAUACGGAGGGGGCUAGCGUUGUUCGGAAUUACUGGGCGUAAAGCGCACGUAGGCGGAUCAGAAAGUCAGAGGUGAAAUCCCAGGGCUCAACCUUGGAACUGCCUUUGAAACUCCUGAUCUUGAGGUCGAGAGAGGUGAGUGGAAUUCCGAGUGUAGAGGUGAAAUUCGUAGAUAUUCGGAGGAACACCAGUGGCGAAGGCGGCUCACUGGCUCGAUACUGACGCUGAGGUGC
rnacentral:rRNA from 1 species